GCCGAUGUGGCUCGAUUUAGAAAGGCUCCGCUCUUGUAAAGCGGUUGAUGCUGGUGCAAAUCCAGUCGUCGGCUUCA
rnacentral:tRNA from 1 species